UACGUAGGGCGCAAGCGUUAUCCGGAAUUAUUGGGCGUAAAGAGCUCGUAGGCGGUUUGUCGCGUCUGCUGUGAAAGACCGGGGCUCAACUCCGGUUCUGCAGUGGGUACGGGCAGACUAGAGUGCAGUAGGGGAGACUGGAAUUCCUGGUGUAGCGGUGAAAUGCGCAGAUAUCAGGAAGAACACCUAUGGCGAAGGCAGCUCUCUGGGACGGUACUGACGCUGAGACGCGAAAGCGUGGGGAGCGAACAGG
rnacentral:rRNA from 1 species